AACUCUCAACCCCCUCAUUUUGUAAUGAAAUGAGUUGUGGGCUUGGUUUAUGGCUGUUGCCGGCUUAAGUGCCGACUCAGCUGAAAUACACGAGCAACCCAGUUUGAAUACUUGACGGCUUGACUCGGCGUAAUAAUUAUUAUCGCUGAGGACGUCUAGCCUUCAAAUCGUUAGUGGUGCUUCUAAUGCAAAUCAUUUUAAGA
rnacentral:misc_RNA from 1 species